rnacentral:rRNA from 1 species
UACGGAGGAUCCGAGCGUUAUCCGGAUUUAUUGGGUUCAAAGGGAGCGUAGGCGGGUUGUUAAGUCAGUUGUGAAAGUUUGCGGCUCAACCGUAAAAUUGCAGUUGAUACUGGCAUCCUUGAGUACAGUAGAGGUAGGCGGAAUUCGUGGUGUAGCGGUGAAAUGCUUAGAUAUCACGAAGAACUCCGAUUGCGAAGGCAGCCUGCUGGACUGUAACUGACGCUGAUGCUCGAAAGUGUGGGUAUCAAACAGG